UACGUAGGGGGCAAGCGUUGUUCGGAAUUACUGGGCGUAAAGGGCGCGUAGGCGGCACGGCAAGUCAGGAGUGAAAGGCCUGGGCUCAACCGAGGAACUGCUUUUGAGACUGCCGAGCUAGAGUGCGGAAGGGGCAACCGGAAUUCCCAGUGUAGCGGUGAAAUGCGUAGAUAUUGGGAAGAACACCUGAGGCGAAGGCGGGUUGCUGGGCCGAUACUGACGCUGAGGCGCGAAAGCCAGGGGAGCAAACGGG
rnacentral:rRNA from 1 species